GGGCGGUGUAGAGGCGGAGAGAGAUGUGAAGAACGGUUCAACGGCAUAAUUUUGCGGCUAAAAAAUGCGAGCCAUAAUAUAAUGGCAUUACAAACCCUAGUCAUGUCAUCAUCAUCUAUUUCUCUCUUGCAUCUUUCUUCCCUUUUCUCUUUUACCCAUUUCUUCCUAUUUUAGGGUUAGGGUUCCUCUUUCUCAUUCUUCUUGUUUGUUUAUCUUCAUUAUUGUAUUGUAUGUACAAAUGUGUGAUUGAAAUCAAACUCC
rnacentral:misc_RNA from 1 species